rnacentral:rRNA from 1 species
GGGUGGGCACUCUAAGAUGACUGCCGGUGACAAACCGGAGGAAGGUGGGGAUGACGUCAAAUCAUCAUGCCCCUUAUGACCUGGGCUACACACGUACUACAAUGGUCGGUACAACGGGAAGCGAAGCCGCGAGGUGGAGCCAAUCCUUAUAAGCCGAUCUCAGUUCGGAUUGCAGGCUGCAACUCGCCUGCAUGAAGUCGGAAUUGCUAGUAAUCGCGGAUCAGCAUGCCGCGGUGAAUACGUUCCCGGGUCUUGUACACACCGCCCGUCACACCACGAGAGUUUACAACACCCGAAGUCGGUGGGGUAACCCGCAAGGGAGCCAGCCGCCGAAGGUGGGGUAGAUGAUUGGGGUGAAGUCGUAACAAGGUAGCCGUAUCGGAAGGUGCGGCUGGAUCACCUCCUUUCU